rnacentral:rRNA from 3 species
UUUAUGGAGAGUUUGAUCCUGGCUCAGGAUGAACGCUGGCGGCGUGCCUAAUACAUGCAAGUCGAGCGAACAGAUAAGGAGCUUGCUCCUUUGACGUUAGCGGCGGACGGGUGAGUAACACGUG